rnacentral:rRNA from 1 species
GACGAACGCUGGCGGCGUGCUUAACACAUGCAAGUCGAACGGAAAGGCCCUGCUUUUGUGGGGUGCUCGAGUGGCGAACGGGUGAGUAACCCGUGAGUAACCUGCCCUUGACUUUGGGAUAACUUCAGGAAACUGGGGAUAAUACCGGCUAGGAGCUCCUGCUGCAUGGUGGGGGUUGGAAAGUUUCGGCGGUUGGGGAUGGACUCGCGGCUUAUCAGCUUGUGGGUGGGGUAGUGGCUUACCCAGGGUUUGGCGGGUAGCCGGCCUGGGAGGGUGACCGGCCACAUUGGGACUGAGGUACGGCCCAGACUCCUACGGGAGGCAGCAGGGGGGAAUAUUGCACAAUGGGCGGAAGCCUGAUGCAGCAACGCCGCGUGCGUGAUGACGGCCUUCGGGUUGUAAACCGCUUUCGCCUGUGACGAAGCGUGAGUGACGGUAAUGGGUAAAGAAGCACCGGCUAACUACGUG